rnacentral:misc_RNA from 1 species
GAUGAAGAACGCAGCGAAAUGCGAUACGUAAUGUGAAUUGCUAAUUCAGUGAAUCAUCGAGUCUUUGAACGCACAUUGCGCCCCCUGGUAUUCCGGGGGGCAUGCCUGUCCGAGCGUCAUUGCUGCCCUCAAGCACGGCUUGUGUGUUGGGCCCCGUCCUCCGAUCCCGGGGGACGGGCCCGAAAGGCAGCGGCGGCACCGCGUCCGGUCCUCGAGCGUAUGGGGCUUUGUCACCCGCUCUGUAGGCCCGGCCGGCGCUUGCCGAUCAACCCAAAUUUUUAUCCAGGUUGACCUCGGAUCAGGUAGGGAUACCCGCUGAACUUAAGCAUAUCAAUAAGCGGAGGA